rnacentral:rRNA from 1 species
GACGAACGCUGGCGGCGUGCUUAACACAUGCAAGUCGAACGGAAAGGCCCUGCUUUCGUGGGGUGCUCGAGUGGCGAACGGGUGAGUAACACGUGAGUAACCUGCCCUUGACUUUGGGAUAACUUCAGGAAACUGGGGCUAAUACCGGAUAGGAGCUCCUGCUGCAUGGUGGGGGUUGGAAAGUUUCGGCGGUUGGGGAUGGACUCGCGGCUUAUCAGCUUGUUGGUGGGGUAGUGGCUUACCAAGGCUUUGACGGGUAGCCGGCCUGAGAGGGUGACCGGCCACAUUGGGACUGAGAUACGGCCCAGACUCCUACGGGAGGCAGCAGUGGGGAAUAUUGCACAAUGGGCGGAAGCCUGAUGCAGCAACGCCGCGCGCGGGAUGACGGCCUUCGGGUUGUAAACCGCUUUCGCCUGUGACGAAGCGUGAGUGACGGUAAUGGGUAAAGAAGCACCGGCUAACUACGUG